UACGUAGGUGGCAAGCGUUGUCCGGAAUUAUUGGGCGUAAAGCGCGCGCAGGCGGUUCCUUAAGUCUGAUGUGAAAGCCCCCGGCUCAACCGGGGAGGGUCAUUGGAAACUGGGGAACUUGAGUGCAGAAGAGGAGAGCGGAAUUCCACGUGUAGCGGUGAAAUGCGUAGAGAUUUGGAGGAACACCAGUGGCGAAGGCGACUAUCUGGUCUGUAACUGACACUGAGGCGCGAAAGCGUGGGGAGCAAACAGG
rnacentral:rRNA from 1 species